rnacentral:rRNA from 1 species
GAUGAACGCUGGCGGCGUGCCUAAUACAUGCAAGUCGAGCGAACAGACGAGGAGCUUGCUCCUCUGACGUUAGCGGCGGACGGGUGAGUAACACGUGGAUAACCUACCUAUAAGACUGGGAUAACUUCGGGAAACCGGAGCUAAUACCGGAUAAUAUAUUGAACCGCAUGGUUCAAUAGUGAAAGACGGUUUUGCUGUCACUUAUAGAUGGAUCCGCGCCGCAUUAGCUAGUUGGUAAGGUAACGGCUUACCAAGGCGACCAUGCGUAGCCGACCUGAGAGGGUGAUCGGCCACACUGGAACUGAGACACGGUCCAGACUCCUACGGGAGGCAGCAGUAGGGAAUCUUCCGCAAUGGGCGAAAGCCUGACGGAGCAACGCCGCGUGAGUGAUGAAGGUCUUCGGAUCGUAAAACUCUGUUAUUAGGGAAGAACAAAUGUGUAAGUAACUAUGCACGUCUUGACGGUACCUAAUCAGAAAGCCACGGCUAACUACGUG